rnacentral:lncRNA from 1 species
CGUUGCAAGAAAUGCAGAAGACAUUUUAUGAAGAAAGAAGUAGCUGAAAAAGUGUCUCAAGCUGCUUAGAAAGAUGGAGAUUUCAUCAUUUACAGAGCACCAUCUUUCAUAAUCUCUGAUGAUCUGCGGAUAUUACAGACACGGAUGUGGCUGAGGAUGAUUUAACUGUGACGCCUUUCUGUAUUCAUUCGAGCUUUUCCAGUCUCGAUGAGCAGAAAAUCCCUAUGUCUGAUGUCAAUGAAAUGGAGGUGCAAGUCGGAUUGAUAGAGGUAAUAUUAUUUGAAACCAUUGUUAUUACCUUUGUGUAUGUUUAGAUGUUGAGUGAUGAAGUUUUGUGGUGUGGUGCAGGGUUUGAACAUAUUGAAAGCGUCUCUGACGUCGACUUCUGCUCUCACUGAUGCUCUGCUCAACAAACAACAAGCCAAGAGUGACAUUUUGAACAAACAACCAAAGAGAGAGAGCUAUGACAUUUUGAACAAACAACCAAAGAGAGAGAGCUAUGAGUUCUGCUCCUAUAUGUAAUAGUUUGAACUUUGUUAUUGAUAGCUAUGCUGCUUUAUUUUCUAGUCAUUUUGAUGUUUCUGUUCUUCAAGUUACUUGAUUAUUCACCUCUAAAAUUGAUGAUCUUGUUGUUUUAUUUGUAUUGUAUCUUGUUUUAGUUUGUAAUGUGUAAAUGUUAGCU